rnacentral:rRNA from 1 species
AUCUAUGGCCAUACCACCCUGAACAUGCCUGAUCUCAAAAGCUAAGCAGGGUCAGAACUGGUUAGUACUUGGAUGGGAGAUGGCUUGGGAAGACCAGGUGCUGUGCAGGUU